rnacentral:tRNA from 1 species
AGUCAUGUGGCUGAGUGGCUAGGCGAAGAUUUCAUAACCCUUCUACAGCGGUUCGAGUCCGCUCAUGACGUCAA